UAACUUGCUUACCUAGCAGCAUAGAAGAAUACUAGUAGAUGCCAAAGACUAGAUUCCUCAGAGUCUCUGUAUUGCACAAAAUAAAUCAGUGUAGGCAUCUUCUGUUACUGUCUAAUUACAGGGAAGAGAAGAGUUGAGAUUUCAUGAAGGUCCCACAGAGCUUUUCGCACCAGGGGGUUGUCAAGCAGGAUAGAAGAAAAAUGGUACACCGGACUCCUAAUGGGCUGCAGACAACAGUGCACUGUAGGUAUUUUCUGUUAUUCUGUUGCUCCAACUAUUUUCAAAGGACCUGAACCAUUGAAGUUUCAUGAAGCUCCCGAAUAGCAUUUCAUAACAGAGAGGUUUCAACCCAAGUGAGUCUUAUAUAAUGGACAAAACACUUAUUCACUUUUACUUAUCAGCCUAGAUAAACUCUUAAGCAGAGAACUAGACUCCUUGUGGGCUGUAACCUACAGAGUGAGGAUCCAGGUAAAUAUUUUCUGUGACUGAAUUGCUGUUGUACAUGAAACUGAACUUUUGAAAUUAGAAAGAAGAGUUCAUAUUUCAUUUCAUACCAUAUGGGUUUGAACGUUUUGAUAAGCUUGAGAGAAAUACAAAUUCGACUGUCCUUCAUAUUUAAUGUGCUUAUGUAGCAGGGUAGAAGAAAAAUGGUACAUGGAAAACACUGUACUCCCAUAGAGCGUUUCGUACCAGAGAGAUUUCUAGGCAAAUGACUUUUACAAAAUGCAGAAAACCCAUACUCACUCUUUCUUAUCAGCCUACACAGAUGACUAUACUUCGAAUGCUUUGUGUGCUAUAUUCUGUGACUGAAUUGCUGUUCUUCAGGAAAUGGAACUUUGAAAUUUGAAAGAAGAGUUCAUAUGGCAUUUCGUGUAUACGGGCUUGAACGCUUUGAUAAGGUUGAGAGAAAUACACAUUUUAAUUUAAA